rnacentral:rRNA from 1 species
CCUACGGAGGGCAGCAGUGAGGAAUAUUGGUCAAUGGCCGGAAGCCUGAACCAGCCAAGCAGCGUGCAGGAUGAAGGUCCCACGCAUCGUAAACUUCUUUUGCCCGGGGACAAAAUCCUGCUCGUGCGCCUGACUGCGUGUACUGUACGAAUAAGCAUCGGCUAAUUCCGUGCCAGCAGCCGCGGUAAUACGGAGGACCCGAGCGUUAUCCGGAUUUAUUGGGUUUAAAGGGUGCGUAGGCGGGCGGUUAAGUCAGCGGUAAAAGCCCGCGGCUCAACCCCGGCGAGCCGUUGAAACUGGAAGUCUUGAGAUGACAAGAGGCAGGCGGAAUGCGUGGUGUAGCGGUGAAAUGCAUAGAUAUCGCGAAGAACCCCGAUUGCGAAGGCAGCAUGCCGGGGGGGGACUGACGCUGAGGCUCGAAGGCGUGGGUAUCGAACAGGAUUAGAUACCCGUGUAGUC